CCUACGGGUGGCAGCAGUGAGGAAUAUUGGUCAAUGGGCUUACGCCUGAACCAGCCAAGUCGCGUGAGGGAAGACUGCCCUAUGGGUUGUAAACCUCUUUUGUCAGGGAGCAACGCCGGCUACGUGUAGCCGGACUGAGAGUACCUGAAGAAAAAGCAUCGGCUAACUCCGUGCCAGCAGCCGCGGUAAUACGGAGGAUGCGAGCGUUAUCCGGAUUUAUUGGGUUUAAGGGGUGCGUAGGCGGAAUGCCAAGUCAGCGGUAAAAUCGCGGGGCUCAACCUCGCUCCGCCGUUGAAACUGGCGUGCUUGAGUGGGCGAGAAGUAUGCGGAAUGAGUGGUGUAGCGGUGAAAUGCGUAGAUAUCAGGCAGAACUCCGAUUGCGAAGGCAGCAUACCGGCGCCCAACUGACGCUGAAGCACGAAAGCGUGGGUAUCGAAUAGGAUUAGAUACCCGAGUAGUC
rnacentral:rRNA from 1 species